rnacentral:rRNA from 1 species
GGAGGGGGCAAGCGUUGUUCGGAAUUACUGGGCGUAAAGGGCGUGUAGGUGGCCUUGUAGGGUCAGAUGUGAAAGCCCCGGGGCUUAACCCGGGGAAUUGCGUUUGAAACCACAGGGCUUGAGGCUGGGAGAGGAAAGCGGAAUUCCUGGUGUAGCGGUGAAAUGCGUAGAUAUCAGGAGGAACACCAGUGGCGAAGGCGGCUUUCUGGACCAGUACUGACACUGAUACGCGAAAGCAUGGGGAGCGAACGGGAUUAGAUACCCCGGUAGUCCAUGCUGUAAACGAUGAGCACUAGGUGUGGCGGGUAUCGACCCCUGCCGUGCCGCAGCAAACGCAAUAAGUGCUCCGCCUGGGGAGUACGGUCGCAAAGACUG